UUGCCUUGGUGGACAUCCUCUAUUUUUUGGUUGCCCAAAUAAAAAAUCUGGAUUGCAUCAAUUUCCCUUCUUCGUCUUCCUGGCCUCUUAUCAGAAGCAAUCUCUGUAAAUUGCUUACUACAUAUCUUCAAUGAUACCCUCUCUCCCAUUUCAAUGUAAGUACAGUCCCUAGCUGCUCACACUUAGUUCUUGACACUGCACAGCCCAUCUCCACUUUGCUACUAGAGUAAGAAUCUAUGUGUGCUAUAAUUCAUUUUCUCAAAAUUUAUUAUUAUCCCUGUCACUUACAA
rnacentral:lncRNA from 1 species